GUCUAUGUACACAUAUUUAAUCACUGACUGAAUGCCAAGCUUGUGUCUACAUGUUUCAGCAACAAGUUUGUUCAGAAGGUAAAGGAACAUAUAUAGUAAUGGAUGAGUCAAAUAAACUACAACCAAUGAAAAGCACAGACUUUUGAAUUACAAAUAAAGAUCCGAUACUAUUACACCUCUUAUAUUUUUGUGAUUUAAAAAACUGAACAUUAAAGCAAUAAAACAAAAGAAACAUGAACAUAACAAAAUAUGUGAUCUCAAGAAAUGAAACAAGUAAUACAUUCAAUACUGGUUGAAAUAAGAAAAUAUUGAUGAUGAAGCAAACAUCAUGAACAUUUCCUGAACUCUGUGGCUACAUUUUACAUGCGAGAUAAACUAUUUUGACGCCAAUAUAUCAAGGACAAUCCAUUUCAAAAUAAUCAAAUGUAAAUGUUUCAUUGUAUUCUAGGUCUUUUUCUUUACUAAUGUACUUUGACAGACAAUAAAAUGAAACAUAAAUUAUUAAAAACUAAAAAAUUUAUGUGAUCAAUCAACUUAGCUUCAAAUCACUCUAGUCACAGUCAAUUGUUAGGGGCAAAUAAAAAAAAAAAUUAAACAAAUUAAAUUCAAUUAAAAUAGAGUUUUGGAUGUUAGCGAACUAUAAUGUUGAACUAUAACUAAGUACUCAAUAUGAUGAAUGUUAAUAAAAAAUUUAAAAAAAAAGGGGUGGG